UUGGAGGGCAAGUCUGGUGCCAGCAGCCGCGGUAAUUCCAGCUCCAAUAGCGUAUAUUAAAGUUGUUGCAGUUAAAAAGCUCGUAGUUGAAUUUCGGGGUUAGUAGGUUGGUCAUGCCUCUGGUAUGCACUGGCCUCACUGAUUCCUCCUUCCUGAUGAGCCGUAAUGCCAUUAAUUUGGUGUUGCGGGGAAUUUGGACUGUUACUUUGAAAAAAUUAGAGUGUUUAAAGCAAGCUAACGCUUGAAUACAUUAGCAUGGAAUAAUGAAAUAGGACGUUCGAUCCUAUUUUGUUGGUUUCUAGGAUUGACGUAAUGAUUAAUAGGGAUAGUUGGGGGCAUUAGUAUUCAAUUGUCAGAGGUGAAAUUCUUGGAUUUAUUGAAGACUAACUACUGCGUAAGCAUUUGCCAAGGUUGUUUUCAUUAAUCAAGAACGAAAGUUAGGGGAUCGAAGACGAUCGGAUACCGUCGUAGUCUUAACCAUAAACUAUGCCGACUAGGGAUCGGAUGAUGUUAAUUUUUUAAUGACUCAUUCGGCGCCUUACGGGAAAC
rnacentral:rRNA from 1 species